ACGCUCGACACCUACGGGAAGGCAGCAGUGGGGAAUAUUGCACAAUGGGGGAAACCCUGAUGCAGCGACGCCGCGUGGAGGAAGAAGGUCUUCGGAUUGUAAACUCCUGUUGUUGGGGAAAAAGAGGAUGGUACCCAACAAGGAAGUGACGGCUAACUCCGUGCCAGCAGCUGACGUAUNGAGGCGGNUGACAG
rnacentral:rRNA from 1 species